rnacentral:rRNA from 1 species
UAGGGAAUCUUCCGCAAUGGACGCAAGUCUGACGGAGCAACGCCGCGUGAGUGAAGAAGGAUUUCGGUUCGUAAAACUCUGUUGUUAGAGAAGAACAGCGCAUAGAGUAACUGUUAUGCGUGUGACGGUAUCUAACCAGAAAGCCACGGCUAACUACGUGCCAGCAGCCGCGGUAAUACGUAGGUGGCAAUCGUUGUCCGGAUUUAUUGGGCGUAAAGCGAGCGCAGGCGGUCAAUUAAGUCUGAUGUGAAAGCCGCCGGUUCAACCGGGGAGGGUCAUUGGAAACUGGUUGACUUGAGUGCAGAAGAGGUGAGUGGAAUUCCGUGUGUAGCGGUGGAAUGCGUAGUUAUAUGGAGGAACACCAGUGGCGAAGGCGACUCUCUGGUCUGUAACUGACGCUGAGGUUCGAACGCGUGGGUAGCAAACAGG